rnacentral:lncRNA from 1 species
UGCCAAAUCUAACUGUGUAUGUAGAUUCUUAAUUUUUGGUCCAGUUUUCAAAUUGGUCUACAUUAAGGUUCAAAGGGUCCAAAAUUAAACUAAGUUUGAUUUUAACAAAAAUUAAAUUCUUGGGCUUAUUUGAUAUGCUUUAUCUAAACAUGUACUUAUUUUUGAUUAUGGGCCCAGUUUUCAAGUUGGUCCAAAUCAGGAUUCCAUAUCAAGUAUUGUGCAAUAGCAAGAAAUUUUAAAUUGCACAGUAUUGCACAAUAGCAAGAAAUAUCUAAUUGCACAAUAUUGUGCAAUAGCAAUUAAUUUUCAAUUGGAGUUAUCUUUCUUUGUAUAGAAUAGUAGUUGAUAAUAUAUGUUGGAAAUUUGCCAGACAUGAC